rnacentral:lncRNA from 1 species
AAUCUUUUGGCUCUUGGUUGAUUCCAAACAUUAGUAUUGGAAGGUGGUCACAUAGCUUAAUUAAGCUGUUGUUAAUCAGACCUAACUUCUAAUUAAAUAUUGCUCCCUACCUUUAGGAUCCAGAUUUCAAUAAGAUCUCAAGUUAUGCAAGUCAAAUAUUACGUCUUAUCUUUUUAACUUUUACUUGGUAUACCUAAUAAUUUAAAAGUUUUCAUAAUCUGUCAUUUUCAUAAAAAUGAUCACUAUCUAUGUUUUUUUACUGUGAUACCAUUGAUAUCUAUAAACUUGAGGAUGGUUUUGUGUUGUAUUAUGGUAGUGUAGCAUCACCAGGUAUGAUUCCUUCCUUAGUUCCCUCCAAAAGCAGGAAUUUGUCUUUCAUACCUGGUUUCACCACAAUGAUGAACAUUUUGUUCUUGAAAGCGAAAAUCAUGUUCAGCAGAAGGAGGGAGAAACUUUGUUCACCUUUUUCACAAAUGUUCUGCUUGAAUGGUUUUGAGACUUUGUAGAAAGACCAAGAUGGUAACAAGAGGGAAGGUCCAUAAUUAAUGCAUCAUGAUGAAUGGUGAUGUUUCUCUUUUUCUGAUUUAUGGCUUUCAUCAGGUGGAUCUUUAGGUGGUGCUGUCCCAGACAGCAUUCCCUACAGGAGCUUUUCAUGGCCAAUGGAAUGCUUUUGAGAAGUGAUUUUGUGGUUUUGCUGAGUUGUGACUCUCAUACACAUUUGUUGUGGCUGUGAUUAUGAUUAUGAUCUUGUAGAGUAGUGUAGAGUAGAGUAUGAUUCAUGUAACAUGCCAUAGUUUGGUUUGUUCCAAGCAUUUGCAUUAUCAGAACAUGCUUGAAAUUGAAACCCUAGUUGCUUGAAACCCUAUUUGCUGGGUGGAUCUUGGCUGAAGAUAAUUUCAACCCUGCCUUUCAGAAUUUGCCAUUGCUCUACUCACCAAUCAUCAAAUCUCACAACCAUUACUAUCUUAUAUAAUGAACUAAAGUUCAAAUUCAUAUUAAUUAAUAAUAUAUAUUUUAAAUAUUGUUGGAGAUCU